rnacentral:rRNA from 1 species
GUCGAGGAUCUUCCGCAAUGGGGGAAACCCUGACGGAGCGACGCCGCGUGGAGGAUGAAGGCCUUCGGGUCGUAAACUCCUGUCAGUCUGGAAGAAAAUCUGCAGCAAUGUGGAUUGACCGUACAGGCAGAGGAAGCUCCGGCUAACUCCGUGCCAGCAGCCGCGGUAAUACGGAGGGAGCGAGCGUUGUUCGGAAUCAUUGGGCGUAAAGGGCAUGUAGGCGGCUCUGUAAGUCGGGUGUGAAAUCCCAUCUCUCAAGGGUGGAACGGCAUUCGAAACUGCAGGGCUUGAGUUCGGGGGAAGAGAGCGGAAUUCUCGGUGUAGCGGUGAUAUGCGUAGAUAUCGAGAAGAACACCAGCGGCGUAAGCGGCUCUCUAUCCUGAAACUGACGCUGAGGUGCGAAAGCCAGGGGAGCGAACGGGAUUAGAAACCCCAGUAGUCC